UCCUGAGCAGAGGGGCCUCUCCCACAGCCCAAAAUAGAAAACUAAAUGUACAAAUUAGAGCUGCUCUGUCCUUUUUCUAUCACGCCCUUGCUUUUCUUCGUGGGAGGAAAACGACAGACAGAACAGUCUUAAAUCUACAAAAUAGUGCCUGCAAAGCAAGGGUGAGCACAUCUCUGAUACGGAAAGGGAAAGACACAGCCACGUCCUAAAGCAUGACGUGGCCAGUGCUAAUGCAGAAGGAAAGCUGACAGCUCCCCUACCUGCCCUUCCUGGGCAGCAGAUCCAUGGAGCACAACAAUUUGCUGCUGCAUUUUGUGAACUGGACAGCGCUCUCUUACUCAUUUUGUUUUAAGCUGUAAAGAUGUUAGGCACCUGUGGAAGGAGCCAUUUAACUUAAUUUCCAAAGUGUUCCCACAUAAUUGUAUGCAUUAAUGUCUCACAGGCCAACAGUUUCAGCAGCAAACUGUUAACAUAUAGCUACAAGCAGCUGUGACCAUCUCAGCAAAACCAUCAGACUGACUUCUAUCUGGAGCUGUAAUUGUAACUCGAAUGCACAGUUUUUACUAUCAUUUCAGCAGACACAAAACCUGCAAGCCCAGCUGAAGACAGAUUUUCCUUCUUCUUAUACAAAUGAAAGGGAGUUCCUACAACAACGCUCACAAAGACCUCGUUUGGAUAAAACUGGAACAUUUCCCUGUGAUCCCCAGCGAGGGGUAUCUUUCCAUCUCUGCUUUGUCUUCGGAUAAGGCCAGAAGCUCUCAGCUCCCAGUGCAGAGAAGCUUGCUGAGCAAACACUGUCUGACACAGUCCCAUAGCUGCCAUGGAAAUGAGUACAAUAUAAAUUCCUAGACAGGUUUAUCACCCAGACUUUUUUCUGACAGCAGUAGAUGUUUGUGACAAAAUGUACAAAUACUUUUUUUAUCUGUAGCCUGCUACAUCCUAUCUCUCUCUGUCUACAAAUGCAGCCCCUGCAGGGUUGCACAGCUUCUAGAGGAACUUGACGCCAAAUCCCAGCCAAGAUUUUCCACGUGUUAGCUGGUAAGACCUCUUUGAGCUGAAACGGUCAGUUUGCCCCAGCAAAGUUAGGCUGAGAGCCUUAAAAAAGGCAAGCUAGGCUACCCUUAUGAAAGGCUCAUUGAUGAGACAGCAAGACAGAGUUUUGACAGCAGCAGCACUCUGCUACAUCACAGCACCAGGAACUUCAGUCCCGAUGGGAACACGGCUGAGAUUUACAAUUCCCUAUACUGUUCCAGAGGAUUGCUCCAGUGUAACCAGGCUCUCAGCCUGACCUCCUUUCCUGCUUCCACUAGCCCCUAGAGGAGGGGGGGAAGAGCGAGAACACAGAACUGGAAUUUGAGAGUCCUUCACAUUCUUGGGAUUCCUGGUGUCUGUGAUAGGCAGCACAAAGGCAGCACACGCUUGUCUGGUGAUCUGACAAAUUCCACGUUCUGGAGAAUUACUGGAACAGCUGAUGGGUCACAGGAGUAGCUACAUGCAGCUGGCCUAGCUCCACAUCCACAGGAUGGGAGGUUUUAGUGCCAAUCAUCCCACACACCAGGGCACAAAAGUCCCCCAGUAUGACUGCAGAACCUUCUAGCAAACUCAAACUUCUCUUCACUACCACUGACUUCAAGGAUCAAAAACCAGCAGCAUAAGAAGAGAACAGCUACACAAGCCAUCAUUCCCACAGCAUUACAUUACAGACACUUCUCCAAGGUAAAAAGAGCACAGAAAGUAUCCUCCGAAGUGCCAGUGUGCAGUCCCAGGCUGCUCUAAGUUGACCUAGACAGCUGACAUUACUGUCAUGCAGCCCAUCAUCUGUCCCCAGCUGUGCUUGUCCUGGCCCCCUCCCUCCUCUGUACCGGGACCAAGAUCUGUUCAGCUCUGUAAUGAGACAGUUCAGGGAAAUAAACAAACAGAAAACUUUUUUUUUUUUCUUCAUGAUUGUUCUCUAAACUUUGUUUCAACUGAUUCACCAAAGGGUCAAAUGGAUGCUAGUGCAGGUACAGGGAGUGGAGAACUACAGCAAAACCAAUUUAAAUAGAACUUCAUGUCAGCAUAAGCUGAUCUUAGUCCCUGGCAGAAUAUAUCCUCCUGGCAGACAAGGAAAGAAAAGGCACUUCAUUGAGAGUGACAUGGAUGAAGCUCUAAGACUCUCUGACUGCUUGCUUCAUCCCCUACCCUUUAUACAUAUAGAUGCCUCCAAACAUUUAAAACCUUGUGAAGUGAUGCACGUAUAUUAUCACCACCAGCAGCCUCCAGGACAAGCCCAGGAAUGACACUAGAGGCUACAGACUGUCAGCUGUAGUGUUUCAUGAUCAGGAAAUCAGCAAUAUAAAUUACCUAACCUGACACGUGUGGGUAUAUAUGUCACACCAGAUUUGCCAGCAGAAACAUGUCUAGCUAAUACACUGGUCUGCUAUUCAACAAGAUUGUGAACAACUGACACUUUUUGGCAGGUGCCUUAGAAAUGAGGGCUGAUGAUGGUGGACUCUGCAAGCACGCAGGAGGGGGGAAGCUCACUUCACACACUCAUCACUAUGCCAGUUACUGACCCAAAUGAACCUUCCCAUUCCCUAUCAAUCCACAAAUCUCAGUCCAGCCCACACUAAACACUGAUUGAUUUUUCUACUCUAAUGAGCACUGUGUCACAUUUGUGUUGACUAACCAUCAGUUCAGAUAAGUGGUUUGCAAUUAAGAUAAUUUGGUUUGGGGCCAAUGUGGCCUGAAAAGCACUUUUGAGAGUUCAGCACAGUGUUAGAGAGAUUAACUAGAGAAAUUUACUGCUCAAAACAGAAGGCCAGGUACCAAGCUAACAGCUACUUUUAGACCUUUAUACCAGAAUUUACCUUUCCAACCUAUUCAAAACAAAAAGCAAGAUUUGUCACAACAAAACUUUUCCUUGGAAAGCAAUAGCUUGCUUGUACAAUGCUCGGAAAAGAUUUCUUUCCGGACAUGUGCACUCAACCUGCAGCAACACUGAUUUUUCUUCCACUCCCCAUUUCCACUCAGGUGACAAUGUGAUCCUUUCACAGAUGCUACCUAUUUCUGAUGACAGACAAUUAGUAUUUCAACAAAAAUGCAUUCAAUGACAAACAGCCAACUUAAAUGAAGCCUCUAUAAAAAAGUAAACAGUUAAAUGAGCACAGCUUUUGAGUUCCAUGGACUUCAGCCUGGACAUAGUUCACAUUCUCAUCCUACACACAGCCACUUUGCAGAAUUUUCCUCCCAUUGCAAGCUGAACUAAGAAAGUGGUUUGGAUAGCAGCAGUUGCCAGGUAAAUAUAUUCAAGGCUUACAGCUGGAAGGAGCUCCCCUAUGUCCCCACCUAGACACAGAAUCAUCAGAGCAGAAACAGACACUUGGCAACUAGUCAGGUUUCAGUUUAAAGAGAGAGAUCAAACAUCCCUUUUCACUCUGCAAGUUUUUUUGCAUACAGAACUCCACAUCUCUUGCGACACUUCCUCUUCACAUGGCGCCCUCAUGACCAAGCUGCCAGAGCAGCACAGAAACCCUUACUCCCAACACUUGCUACCUGCCAGGCUCUCAGCACCAGACAUCCCCUGCUCUGGUAGCUCUCACCAGCGCAGCAGACAAAGGUUUCAAGGUGGUCACCAUCUACAGCAAUCUCUGGGAAGAGCAGCUUAUGUUUGACUCUUUUUUUUCUUUUUUGUUUUGCUCUCCUUUCCUUUAUACUUCUUCCUUGUAUCAGGACACAAUUAUCUCAGAUUAGUUUAUACUUGAGACAAAUAAUGUCUGAAAGCUUACCCAAAUAUAUAAAUGGCCCAUAACCAUCAACCCAUGUAUUCUUCAAUAAUAUCAGGCAAAAAGACAAGACACUGUGCUCAUAUCGCUUUGUUGUCACAUGUUUUUCUUAAAUGGUCUAGGGACUCUAACACACUUGUUUUAGAAAUACCUCAUAAAAGUGCAUAAAUUAUCCCUUCUAUUAUCCCAAAUUGCUCCUAGCUUUCUCCAAUCCCUGCAUAAGCAGUCAUGAGAGCACCGUUUCUUCUGUGAAUUGAGGAAACAUCUUUUUGGUGAUUUUAGAGGAUAGCAUUUUAAGGUAGCCAACAUCUAACUGACAGGCAGCGCUACUGCUCAUCUGUACUUCCGUAACAACCAAGAUUUCAAACAAUUUAAAGAAAUGCUUUCUGCUGAAAACCAAAAUUGUAAGUGCUGAAACUAAGCACCAACUGAAAUAAUAAGAGAGCUAAGAUAAUAGGCCUUUGUCCCUAAGCUAUUUCACAAGGCUGAGCUUUAAUUUUCUUCAGCUAAAUAGUCUGUGGACCCACUACUUCAGGAGGACGCAGAGACGAAAAGGAGAGCAAAAUAAGAUUGGUCGGAUCUACGAUACAGGCUUAUUUUGGCCUCCCAACCUCUUCUGCCUCCCACACCUUUUUAUCCCCCUCAAACUUUUCCAGCAUCCCCUUCUUCUUGGCCUCUACUUUUCUUGCUGACCUCCCACACCAUUUUGGUCUCCCACCACUUUUCAGCCUCCACUUUUCUUUCUGGCCUCCCACAUGUUUUCAGCCUCUAGUUUUCUUUCAGACUCCCACCCCUUCAGCCAGCACAUAAUAUUAAAAUCCCCUUAAGGUUAUGAAUAUGUAAAUUCUCUAUCCAAUCAACAGUGUCUCACCUUGAUAUGUGCAUUCAUAUUUUGACUUCUCCUUCUACACCCUAGCUGACCAGAAACAACCUAGCUUCCAUCCAGACAUCCUGCAGUCAUAACAGCACAAUUUUAAGCCCAAGGAAAAAUGGUGGCUCUCUCAGCAAUUCCAAAUCCUACUAGGACUCUCAUAGCCCUGUACAGUUAAUUAUGUUAAUGGCAGUACGAAAGUAAAACAUGAGAAAUUCUGAGAUGGUAAAAAUCAUUUAUCGUGAGUUUCAGAGCAACGCUUUCAUAAGGUUUAGGGGCGAUGCAAACCCCCACCAAGCUUAUUUAAACAAGUAAUACAUGCUCUAGCUUUGCUAACAGCUCCAUAAGGUGCUGUUCCCAAUUCCUAUUCACCAGCUUUCCAGACAGAAGAUCAGCAACAUUAAAGUCAGAAAUCAUCUGCAUUCCUACAGAGUGCUACGAUCAGGCACACAAAAACACACUCUGUACUUCUCUGCAGAACUUGUUUUGAUCCCCUCCCUCAACUUUAAGAGCAACAAAUCCAUGCACAAAUAAAAUGGGGAUUUUGGAAGUCACAUAUUUUGUAUUUUCCCUCACUUUCACGCAAGACCUUAAGUUUUCCUUUCUCUUUUCAAACAAUUGUAGCCAAAAAAGCUUGUGACUUUAGGAGAAAUCAAAAAUACACAUUUUGAAAACGCUAUUCAAAAUGCACUGUUUGGUUUACUUGAGAAAUAUGAUAGGUACUUUUUUUUUGUUUUCAGAAAGGUGCAACAGAUGUAAAAGCAGUUCUUCAUUAUACAUUACUAUGAUUUUCCAGUAAUCAUACUGCUCUGAAUCUUCUCUUCCAAGUUGCAAUAUCUUUUUAAUUAUGUGGUACUUAGUAGGUCUGAAGGAAAACGAAAGAGAACUGACCACAAAAUUCAGAAAUGCAUAAAUACAAAAGGAAGAUGUGAAAUAUCUUCAAAAGUUAUAUUUUAACAGCCCAAACACUCUUCCCACACUGUCCCUUCACACGCAAGUCAGGCACGCUUAGCUGCCCCCACUUCAUUCCCGCAUGAACAAACCAAUGGAGAAACCCUAUUAUAUUGCAUUGUGUGCAAUUGGCACUGUUUGUUCGGCACACCAAAAAACAAUCAGGUAUACAAACCCUGGUUGUUAUUAUAAUCUUAAUAGAUGUAAUGGGUGGGUAGGAAAGCUACCUGUAACAUCCAUGAGAAAAUAAUGUACUAACACAAACCAGCAGAUAAACAGUCAAGAAAAGGCAGAAAACUGCUCCCAACUAAACUUCAGUGCUCAGGUAAAAUAAGGCAAAAGAAACAUCUGUUUUGCUGUCUAAGUUCCAAUUCUGUCAGAGAGAGAAUUCCUGGCUUCCUGAUGCAAAGGUGUGGCUUUCCCUCCCAAGAUGAAGAAGAGGCAAUUCUGAACGGACUCCAAAAAUCCUAAGAGUAUAAGACAACCUGUUAUUUAAAACAACAAGAUGUGUGGACAGAGAACAAGGCUUUCUGGUCUCUAAUUUGGAAGGUUCAAUCAAACUCUAGAAAAAAACAACAAUAAUUUUGUGCAAUAAUCUUCCCUCUUCUCAAAACUGUACCAUUGGACAAAUCAGCCUUUGCUGCACAUCAAAACCUGAACUGCAGAAAUACUACUUAUAAUGCAGCAUUGUGUAGUGUUGCAAAUAUGUAUCAGUUUUGGGGUUUUAAAAAUGUUGAUUAUAGUGUGCUGCCUUGUAAUGCAUGGAACUGCAUAUUUCAGUUAUUAAAGUUAGCAAACAAGUCUGGCUGUUCAAAGUCAUUUCCCUGAGUAAACAAUGACUCAGUGUGGACUGUAUAAUGUAGAA